CUCCGGUUUUCUCCUCAGGGACCUGUGAGCGUAACCUUCCAGCAUGAAGCAACACAAAUUAUCUGCGAAAAAGCGUCUCACAAAGCCGAUUCUGUUCGGUGCUCUGCUCGCAGGACUCGCCACAGCGUUCUUAAACAGGCACUUAUUCUUUGAAGACGUGGCAGAGAUUCGGGCUCAGGAACGAGCUCGCAAUGAAGUAAAACUGUUAGAGGUGUUAGAGCGGAGGCAGAAACAAAUGGAAGAGCUGGCAGAGAAGAAAGGUGCAGGGGAGAGGUGAGACUGCAGUACAUCUUCAAUCCAAGUACAUAUCAGCUCACCUCUGCUGAAGACGGAGCUGCUGUCCCAAAUGACGGAUUGAGCACCUGACAUGUUUCGUAACGUAUUUUAGGUUGAUUUAAUAUGCUAAAUCUGAUCUACACACGGAGAAAGAAAAUUCACCAGAGAAGUGCACUUGCAACUGAAGAAGUCAAAAAAGGACCUUUGCAUUUUUGUGGACGAGAAAAAUUCCAGUAACGUGAUCUUAGUCUGUGGGUACCUCUCAUUACUUGACUGCCACCUGCGGACUGAAGAUCUAAAGAUGCCAAAGGGAAGCUAACAAAGACUGCGCUGUAGUGCUGACUGUGCUUGUUCCUCAUAAAUGCUGUUUUUUGAAUGUCAGGUUUUUAAGAGGGUAAGCCCACAUAAGCCCCCCGUUUCUUCUGUCGAAGUGAAGCAUUGAGUCACAGUAAAGGUGUUUUGGAGUGUAUUCUAGUAAGUGGGUUUGACUUCCUUUCAGGUGCAAUGCCCCAGCCUGGUAUCUGCCAAGUGAUGUGAUUAUGCUGUGUAAAUUCAAAUUCCUGCAUAUUUCCUUUGCAAAAUCUGCAAGAAUCUAGAAUAUAUGGGUACUCUAGAAGGAACAUAAGUCAUAUCAAUGCCUGGGAAAUGUUUACAUUUGUAAGCAGGUAAAUAUUAUGUUCCUAAAAUAAACGUAUGCCUUCCUUUUGAAAUGCAUUUCAUUAUAAAGGUUAGUAGUAUUACAUUUAGUACAGGUAAAGUUUUGGACUUUUGCCUGCUGUAAUAAAAAGCACAAAUGUAAGUAUUAAAAGUUAAAGUAUUUAAAAAUAAGCAAACAUGCAGCUGCUGAUGAGCCUAAUGGGUAGUCAGCGCAUCAUUUCUUGACCUGUAAACAAGCCUACAAUGUAUCCCACCUAUCUCUGUUUUACCCAGUGCCCUUUUCAGUUCAGUCCUCUCAGGCUUUGGAAAGGAUUUCUAUAAGCAUUUUGACUCUUCAAAAUGUUCGUCAAUGUAGGCUAUAAAAAUGACUUUUUUUAUAAUAUCUUAUGAAUAUUGACACAUUUCUUUGUCUGUUUAACUUAUAAAUAAGUGAUAAGUUGUUUUAAACAUUACGAAAACGUAAUGGAAACCAUUUGUUUUAGGUGUCAGGGACAGAGCCUAAGUUACACAAGUUUUUAGAGCUGGAAAACAUAAACAACUUUUAAAAAAAAUUUGAUAAUCCAAAACUGAUGCUACAACAGUUUUUGCAGAAAGUGACAUAAUUACCUAAAGCAUUUUCUAUUGCCAAAAGUCAGUUUGGUGGAAACAACAGCAAAAGUUACAAACUUUUUCUGGCAUUUUCUUCUUAUCUUUUACAUUUUUUAAUGCAUUUACUAAUUUUGGGGUUGGCACAGCUGAUGUGAACAUCGCUACUGAGGCACACAGUGUCAUCCAAUCUUCUCUUGUAAGGCAUUUGAACUCCUGCUGUGUUACAUUGUUGUCGGUGAUUAGGCACUUGACUGUGGAGUUAUCAGCCAACAUGAUGGAGUUUCCAUUGUGGCAACACAAAUGUGGGAGGUGGAGUUCAGCCCAAACAGCACAGCAGUAAGAGGUGUUUGCUUCAGUCUGCUGUAUGAAAAGCUGACUGUAAUUCUAGGUCUAAAUAUUCUAGUAUUUUGUGGCAAUGCAUUGUUUCAGUGAUGAGAGUUUAGGUGUGUGGCAGAAAGAAAUAUGAAGUAAAUCUUGAUUCCUCUGACCAAAUUAUGUGAAUGAAGUCUUGAGCUUAAAACUUCCAAGCAGAGGAAGUAUCUGCAAAUACAUAAAAUAUGUGAAUACACAAUGAGCAGCAGAAGUCAUACCAGCGUCUCGACAAGAAGGUUUUCACUGAAAUGACAGAGUUUUUCUGUCUGUAAAAAGAAUAAAUUGUUUUUAAAAGAAA